UUACUUCAAGGAGUUCCUCUGAACAAUUCCUCAACAAUUUGAGAAAGUUCCUGUUUCACUGACCAAUCAAAUUUUAUAUUUUAUUUUUGAGCAAUCUGAUUGAUCAAUCAAACAGGAAGUUAGGAACUUUUUAAGGAACUUAUCAAAUUGUUGAGGAAUUGUUUAGAGGAACUCCACGAAGUUA
rnacentral:miRNA from 1 species